rnacentral:lncRNA from 1 species
GAGGGAAGUAAAAGCUACAAAGUCUCAACAAUUUUGUUUAUUUUGGUUGACCUAGUUUCUGGAGCUAAAUUAGCUCAUUUUGGACAACUUGAAGAUUGUAUGAGCUGAGCUUAACAAUAGGUAAAUUAAACAUCAAAAUCAGCUGAACACUUGGUAUAAAAAACCACAAGAAUACCAUUAGCCAAGCGCCUUUCCUUUAAUCAUAAGCUUGCAACGUUUUUUUGGAACUUGCGUAUCUUUUUGGGAGGAGAAUUGGAUUGUUCAUUAAAACAAAUAUAUCCAGACAUUUACAACUUAUGACAACAACAUGAUGCAACAGUGGCUGAAUUAUGGUCGGAGCAGGGACGGAGCAUACCUUCAGAAGGUUUCUAAAUGAUUGGAAAUUGGGAAUAACUGAAUUAUAUAGUACCUUAUCUCAGUUCAAAGUCACUACUGGAGAUAAGUCCGGAAUGGCGAAGGAAUAAACAAUUUUUCUGUGAGAGAUGCAUACAGGGAACAAAACUUGUCCAAGAAUCAAGUGUGCUGCUGCCAUGGAAGCUGAUCUGGAGAGUCCAAGAUUCCGUUUCAAAGUAGCAUGCUUUACAUCGCUGGUGGCCAAAGA